CCCACCCAGCCGCCUCGCCCACUUCGAGCAGUAACUUCCACCGCUCUCAGAGCCCCCAACCUAACCCUUGGUUAGCUCACGCUCUUUCCUAACGUCCGGAAACGAUGGCUGCCAACUGGCUCUCCCCGCGCGAGCAAAACCACAUUCCCACCCAGCACGCCGGCAUAGAAGCUCAUAUAGAUUGAAUAUGUCAAAACACAGAACCAUUACAGGUAGAGUAGCUACCAAAAGCGUAUUGGAACAUCUUUUUCUCUUCAGAUACCAGCUCAACGUGAGACACCUGCUAAGAAGCAAUCUGCUUUCCAAAGCAGAGCGUGGAGAGAGGAAUCAAGGUUACAAGAGACACUGGAUUAGAAUGCAACCUCCUGCAUUUACUCCCACAUGACUUUGGCAGCCUCCACAUUCUCUGAAGUUAUGGGGGAACAAGCUCAUUCCUAGUUGAUGCCCUCGCUACUUCAAGUGUGAUCCUCCUCCUCCAGCAGGUAUCAGCAGGACCUGUGGAAGUCCAUUAGAAUGUAGAAUCUCAGGCCUCACUCCUAGACCCACUAGAUCAGGAUCUGAAUUUAAAGAUAUCAGGUGAUUUCUUAACGACUUAUGGUCUGAAAACUAUUCAGUCACUACCAUUUGACCAUAUAGCAAAUAAAUGAACGGUCUAAGUCCAUUUUAUGGGUGCUAAAAAUAUAUUAGGUGCCAUGGGAGAAUUAGAACCUAGGACUACAUAUUUCCAAAAUUAAGUAUCUAAGUUGUACUAUCUUGAGCUCUAUUAGCUUCCUCAUUUCCCAAGAGGUUCAGCCAAUGUUUUACUUCAGAGUAAGUCAUGUGUAUAGCACUUAUUCUUACCUGCAAGCCUAUUUUCUUAGCCCAGAAUAAGAAUUUUCUUAUAAUACACAAUUUGCGUUGCAUUAAAAUAGUUUUCCUGGGGCACUUGGGUGGCUCAGUGGGUUAAAGCCUCUGCCUUUAGCUCAGGUCAUGAUCCCGGGGUCCUGGAAUUGAGCCCCACAUCGGUCUCUCUGCUCAACAGGGAGCCUGC